AGCGCUUGCAAAACUUGACUUGGCACAAGCUGGAAAUCUGAUAGGGUUGGUUGACCUUUUUCUACAGUGGAUGAGGAUGACACAAAUCAUUGCAACCAUUUUGGAGCUAAUGUAUAUGUAAGCUCUUCUUUCCAAAGGAUAAAGGCUUGCACUUUAUCCUUUCGAGGCAUGUGAGGGAAUCAUGUUUCUGCCAAGGACUUGAGGAUGUUGUCGUUCCAAAAUGUGGUAAACCGGAUGAAGAAUUGGCAAUGGAUAUGCGUGAUAGAAUGGUUAUCAUUUGCCUUCGGGCAGUCUUUUCUAAAAGUAACAGUAUUUGGGUUUGAGGAUUAAGGAUUUGAUGUUUGCUGCUUUGUACAUAUUCACUUGUAAAGAUGAUGAUGGUCAAGGUAGAGGUGUUAAUAAUAUGAUAAAACCAAUCCUAGUCUCUUCACAGUUCAACCUUUCGGGAUUAAAGUGGAUUUCUGUAGAAGGUCAUAUAUUUGUAUAAGAAAUUUGCCAUGAACAAUCCUCUUUUUUUUUGUCUGAGAAGAAGCGUAUGUUUAGUU